rnacentral:tRNA from 1 species
AAUAGGUUGGCAGAUUAGUGCCUUAAAUUUAGGAUUUAAUUAUAUGAAUUUUAUUUAUACCUAUUA